rnacentral:rRNA from 1 species
UGGUGGGGUGACCCGUCUGGUUAAUUUCGAUAACGAACGAGAUCCGAGCUGUUUAGUUGGCCAAUAUUACUUUUGUAGUGUUAUGUCUCCUAUAUGGACUGUCAGUUUGAGGCUGAAGGAAGUUUCGGGCUAAAUCA